CACAGGGGUGUUACAGAUGGACUGGAGUCAUGUGAAUUUCUUGUGGAUUAUUGUGAUGUUUUUAUCAGCUGUUUGGACUCUCAUUCUGACGGCACCCAUUCACUGCAGAGGAUCCAUUGGUGAUGUAAUGCUAGAUUUCUGCAAAUACUGUAUGUUCUGAUAUGAACUGUUUCUUUAUCAUGACCAAAAAAAAUAUACGAUUGCUAAACGGCUCUAACCAGUCUGGAAAAGAUGAAAAUUGAAAUUUGUGCUGGUCUUUUCAGCGACACAGUGGAUUGACUUUUUGUGGAGUAUUUCUAAGUACAUUCCCUGGCAUUUGACACUGUUUAAGUGAGAAUAGUUAUUUUUCCCUUGAUUCUCUCUCCAGUAUAAUGAGUUAAUUCACAGCAGUGAACUGCAGAUUUUGUCCUGACCUCGUCUGGCACUGAAGGGGGGAAGCCUGUCUGUCUGAUUAACUCAAUACAGCCAAACUGACAAUGAUGAAAGCCAACAGAAGAAAAAUACUACAGUGCUACAAAACCAUUCUUGACAUUCUUCUGAUGGGCAAGACCAUAGGCAGCUGUAUAUGUUUUAAUGGGUUAUCUGUCACUCCUAAAGCUGAAAGUCACCUUGCUGUCUUUCUCUUAUCUGUUCAUACUGGGAGUGAAAUGGAGACUAUUUUAAAUGCGUUUUAGACAUUUCAGUAAAUGUCACUGCAAACAGAAAGUUCAGAUAACGAGCUGAACUAUCUCUUAAAGUCUAUGAUUCAAAUGCCUCAAAAUAAGUUUUUCCUUAAGUCAUCUACUAAUUUAUAAAACAUGGUAUUACUUAAGCUUAAAGGUGAUGUUAUAUACACUGUCAAGUUUUCAUCUGUAAGAUGUUGAAAACUUCUACAAAAAUCUGCAGGGUAAAUUCAUUUAGAGGCACUAUACCAGAUUAUCAGAUUACAAUUAGAUUAUGAAUAUUACAUUUUCCCAUUUUAACCCAUCCACAACAUAAUGGGCCACAUUAAGCGCCUACAUUGUACAAAACCUCAAUUUAUAGCCCUUAUAAUUACUAUAAUAAAAGGCAGUUAGCAGUUGGUUACACUCACAAUUUCACUACUUAUCGAGUAUGUUAUCAGCAUGAGUCAUAUUUUAGCUGUGGAACAUUUGGUAAAUGAUAUAUUGAAUUUUUCAUAAUGUAUUGCCUUGACUUCUGUCUGAUGUACAGUCGUUGGCACAAUAUUGUGUGGGAAGACAAUCCAAUGAGAAUAAAUUGGCAUACCUUUUUUAUUUUACUUGUAGUUAGGUUGACAAAAUAAUGCUGAUUGCUUAUUUAUCUUUUCUUUUUUUUGCAAUAGAAAAAAGGUAUCCAUCUUCUUUGUCAAAUGCAUCCAUAUUUCGAAGAUGACCAAGCCAAUCAAUCAGUAGAAAACAGGUAGUAGUACUUUGCAAUAGGUCAUUGUACUCUACUGGGUAAAAUUAGGCACCAAGACCGGAUCAGGAGUGCAAUAAAUAUUGCUGAUGGAUCAACAUUUGACACAAACUAAAGCUCGGUGGCUCUCUGUGCCAAAUUCUCAUAUACUAUAUAAACUGUCUGGAAGUAGCCUCUGGCUGUACGCAUAUUGAUUAUGAGAAUUAAGGCAAUAAAGUGUGCUUAGAGCUCUUUUUUAUUAUUUUUCUCUCAAUUAACCUGCAACCCACAAGCAUCCUAUUGCCACGGGAUCUGAAUGAGGGAUGGAGCGUUUAUCCACUGACUCAUUCAAUCUGCAUCACCAUCUGCUUUUUUGAAACGCAUACUCAGUUUAGUGUUUCUGAGAUUUGGAUCAAGGAAUUUGAUGAUAACCGCUGGGGAUCCUGAAUUGAAAUAAUUAAAAUAAUCAUCUUGCCUCCUUUUAAAUUAGCAGGUUUCAUAAGAUUUCAAAGAAACGUUUCAU
rnacentral:lncRNA from 1 species